rnacentral:rRNA from 1 species
AUUGAACGCUAGCGGGAUGCUUUACACAUGCAAGUCGAACGGCAGCGCGGACUUCGGUCUGGCGGCGAGUGGCGAACGGGUGAGUAAUGUAUCGGAACGUGCCCAGUAGCGGGGGAUAACUACGCGAAAGCGUAGCUAAUACCGCAUACGCCCUACGGGGGAAAGCAGGGGAUCGUAAGACCUUGCACUAUUGGAGCGGCCGAUAUCGGAUUAGCUAGUUGGUGAGGUAACGGCUCACCAAGGCGACGAUCCGUAGCUGGUUUGAGAGGACGACCAGCCACACUGGGACUUAGACACCGCCCAGACUCCUACGGGAGGCAGCAGUGGGGAAUUUUGGACAAAGGGGGCAACCCUGAUCCAGCCAUCCCGCGUGUGCGAUGAAGGCCUUCGGGUUGUAAAGCACUUUUGGCAGGAAAGAAACGUCGCGGGCUAAUACCCCGUGGAACUGACGGUACCUGCAGAAUAAGCACCGGCUAACUACGUG